AAAUGCAGUUGAUUAGCACUGAAAUAGCAGUGGUAUGAACAAGGUAUUGAACACCCUUAAAGACAGAUAAAAUCCAAUAAUUCAUAGACAAAGGUAAACUCUGUGGAUAAAAUCGUUUGCUAGGUCGAAAACGUCCGACGAAAAGAUCGACAUCUGAUUGAUCAGAUAUCUUUGCCGAACGCUCCAGAUGUGUAUUCCCCUCAAUCUGGAUGUAAUAAACCAUAAACAAAUAAAGAUUUCUGUAUGUAAUAAACGAACGGUUCAGACAAGUCCGAGCGGUCCGAGGUAAUAACCGAACGCGCUUAAAUGUGUUUGUUCACAGACAGCGCGACCUAUCCUUGAAUCGCGGAUUGUAGAAAAUUGUGGUUCUAUGCUCUUGUUUAGCAAAGUUUUUUCUUUCUCUAUGAACAUAACCACAAAAUGGCGGUAAUUAUGAACAAGUCAACACAACACACUGUGAAUUGGAAACACUAUUGAAAUUAUUAUUACAAUUUAUAUUCCAUUUCAAAAACUAACAGUUUAAAUGGACAGGACUUCAAGUUUAAUGGAAAUAUAGUUUCAGGUCUUCAAAUGUGACAAAGAUGGUUUUAAGUUGUUCUCCAAAGUAUCAUUUGAAGUUUGGAUAGUAUGAACAUAGCAUAAAUGUGUUAUAGAAAAAUAUAGUAGUACUCUAUACCACCUAUAUUCGGCCCAUUCUUGAAUAUGCUGGUCCGGUGUGGGCCCGAGAUGUGAAUUACCUUGAGUCCAUUCAGCGGAGCGUAACCAGAAUUCCUUAUGUUACAAAAAGACCUAGCUAUGAAGAGAGACUUUCCAUAAUGCGCCUCACUUCAUUUACUACCAGACGUCUGAGGGGUGACUUGAUUACCACAUAUAGAGUUCUUCACUUAUUCAACUCUAACUUAGCCAAUCUCUUCUGCCUGAAUGCUGAUACACGACUGCGUGGCCAUAACUACAAGUUGGCGAAGUAGAGGUUUAUAGAUAUAAAUCUCAACUCUUCUGUAGCAAUAAUAAUGAUAAUAAUUAGUUAUAUGUAUUGUUCUAGCCUGUUUCUUAUUUUAUCCUUAAAGUAAUGGAAGAAUACAUUGAUUGUGAGGUUCCUUUAUAAAUUUCUGAAUGAGGCUUUUAAUCCUACAGGUGGUUUUUUAUUUCUUCUCUGAUGAGGCAUUUAAUGCAUCAGAUUGUGCAAAAGGUUGUCUGUUUGUUGUUGUUGUUUUUUUCUCAAACCUGUUCUCUUUCAGAGGUUUUUCUUUGUAGUGAUGCUGCAAAUCUUGUAGUACUGGAACAUUAUCAUUUGAAUGAUUUUGUGUUCCGUAAAAAUUCCUGAAUAAAAUUAGUUAUAUGAUGUUAUUUCAUUAUAUUGGUGAAUAAAGAGAAAUUAUUCAUGAAUGGAACUGAAAAAUUGAAAUGAAUACAUACAUACAAUAUUCUAUAUAUCAGAUAUCAAAUCUAAGUAGAUUAUAUUUGAAAGUUUUCUUGUACACUUUUCAUAAUAUUUUAUUUUUCUAUACUGUAAUUGUUUUUAGGCACUAAUUUUAAGCUGUCUAUUCUUCACGAUGUCCAAAAAAUUCAAUAAUGUGAUUUUGUGAAUUGAGAUUCUUCAUUCUGGAGCCCCUUGUCAAGAGUGUUUAGUGCCUUUAACGCGAAGCACUUUUUUUCAGUGCUCUGCACAUCUCUCUACUGCAGUUAUAUAGAAAUUCAUCGAUAAACUUCAAUAUAGAGUUUUGGCAAUGAUAAAUCAUGUGAUAAUUGUAUACAUAUAUCAAACGAGAGGUAGAGAGAAGGAAUCCCAUUAGUUAAAUUAUUACAAAAUGAUGCAGUCAUUUGAACAAUUCUCUUACCUACAUUGCUUUGAAGGAAGGGGGUAACAUAGGCGUAUGCGAUAUGAUUCUGUCAUGUUUAUCUGAAUUAUGAUUUGCAGAGAAACUUUUUUUUACUUUACUCUUCUUUCUCUGCAUUCUAUAUGCAUUUAUUUUUAACAAGUAGAUAUUACAUCCCAAGAUAUCAGCAUGCAUUAAUUCUACAGAAGGACUAAAAUCUUGACCGAGGAGGAGUUAAAACUUCUGUUUCUGCUCAUCAAUUUGAUCUUUAAAUAGUAGAUUUUGAAAUCAUUAUUAAUAGUAAUAAUAGUAAUAGUUUUUUUGUUGAAAACAUUCAAAAUUCAUUAUAUGACAUAAAAAAUUAUGUCAUGAUGAAAAUAUAUGAAUUUUUGAGCUCUGAAGAACCUUAUAAGCACAUAUACAUAUGA